UGGAGAGUUUGAUCCUGGCUCAGGACGAACGCUGGCGGCGUGCCUAAUACAUGCAAGUCGAGCGGACAGAAGGGAGCUUGCUCCCGGAUGUUAGCGGCGGACGGGUGAGUAACACGUGGGUAACCUGCCUGUAAGACUGGGAUAACUCCGGGAAACCGGAGCUAAUACCGGAUAGUUCCUUGAACCGCAUGGUUCAAGGAUGAAAGACGGUUUCGGCUGUCACUUACAGAUGGACCCGCGGCGCAUUAGCUAGUUGGUGAGGUAACGGCUCACCAAGGCGACGAUGCGUAGCCGACCUGAGAGGGUGAUCGGCCACACUGGGACUGAGACACGGCCCAGACUCCUACGGGAGGCAGCAGUAGGGAAUCUUCCGCAAUGGACGAAAGUCUGACGGAGCAACGCCGCGUGAGUGAUGAAGGUUUUCGGAUCGUAAAGCUCUGUUGUUAGGGAAGAACAAGUGCAAGAGUAACUGCUUGCACCUUGACGGUACCUAACCAGAAAGCCACGGCUAACUACGUGCCAGCAGCCGCGGUA
rnacentral:rRNA from 4 species